rnacentral:rRNA from 1 species
GAUGAACGCUGGCGGCGUGCCUAAUACAUGCAAGUCGAGCGAACGGAUAAGGAGCUUGCUCCUUUGAAGUUAGCGGCGGACGGGUGAGUAACACGUGGGUAACCUACCUAUAAGACUGGAAUAACUUCGGGAAACCGGAGCUAAUGCCGGAUAACAUUUGGAACUGCAUGGUUCUAAAGUAAAAGAUGGUUUUGCUAUCACUUAUAGAUGGACCCGCGCCGUAUUAGCUAGUUGGUGAGGUAACGGCUUACCAAGGCAACGAUACGUAGCCGACCUGAGAGGGUGAUCGGCCACACUGGAACUGAGACACGGUCCAGACUCCUACGGGAGGCAGCAGUAGGGAAUCUUCUGCAAUGGACGAAAGUCUGACGGAGCAACGCCGCGUGAGUGAUGAAGGUUUUCGGAUCGUAAAACUCUGUUAUUAGGGAAGAGCAAAUGUGUAAGUAACUGUGCACAUCUUGACGGUACCUAAUCAGAAAGCCACGGCUAACUACGUGCCAGCCGCCGCCGUAA